AUAACAAUACAGGACUCUUUACAGGCCCUGUAAUUGGAAUGAGUCCACUUUAAAUCCUUUAACGAGGAUCUAUUGGAGGGCAAGUCUGGUGCAGAGCGACUGAACCGUUCGUGCUGCAGCUGAAA
rnacentral:rRNA from 1 species